rnacentral:sRNA from 1 species
GAACGAAGUACGACUCGGCGACCACAGC